GACCCAUUACCACCACUUAUUCGAAUAUGGCUGCAAGACUAAAAAAUAAAAAUAAAAAAAUCUAAUUUACUGAAAUAUUUUUUAUUAAAUUAUGUUGACAUAAUCACUGUUCCCUCUAAGCUGCGCGCGUGCGCAAUUGCGCACUGCUGACACGGUCUCCACGCACAGAAAAUCUGCGCUGCGCACAAAAAAAAAAAAAAUCCAACCUAAAUUGUAAAUAAAAUAAACACGUAACAAUUCAUUCUGUGCUAUUUUUCAAUGUGAGUCAGUGAGUGACCGGUGACUGGCUGCUGCAGCCAAUGAUGCGAUUCACAUACGUAUUUACCAUAGACUGUAUAUAAUGGUAUUUACGCAGCUAAUCAGGCGUCCUUAUGUGCAGCCAUCGUUGUUCUCAUAGAUAUGAAUGAGUAGAUAGGACACGCCCCUUUGAGCUGCGUGCUACAGCGAGGCUAAGCUAGUGGGGGAAAAGUUUCAGUGCAUUCCGUUGAUGUAGACGGAAACAACAAGUAUGCCGGCUCACUGUGCUGCAUACAGUUACACACUACGUCGUACGAUUGAGACAAGGAAACUUGGAAUGACUUUUCAUAGGUUUCCCAGAGACUAUGGGUUGAGGAGGAAUUGGAAGUUUGUCGGCUUAGACCUGGUGUCAUUCCAUCAGUGUUAAACUUCCCGGCUCAUCUUGGAAGAGUACGUGCCAGAAAGACCACGACCAAGCAGCCUUGAGAUCUUAGGCAGCAUCUCCCUGAGGUCCCUCUCUAUCUCCCCACACAUCCACCAACCACUGGAACACAUCUCCAAAGUUCUGCUGGACCAGCUCAGCUUCCCCUCAGAAGAAGUGCCUGCCACCUGCCAGAUGAAGGAGCCUUUUGAGAGGCAGCUGGCAUCGUGAUUAGACUGUACUUUGGUCUGUUCCAAUCCAGCUUCAGCUCCAGAGACGGCAGGCGGGACGAGUCAACGGAGGCCGGAUGGACGAAGGCAUGCAGCUGAGUACAAUCCAGAAAACAACAGAGGAGGAGUACAGCAGCCCAGGGCCAGAAGAAGCAGAGUAGCAUCGUAUGUCUCUUAGAAAACAUCAUAGUAUAGCCUUUGGUAUGAAAAACACCAUCAUAUACAUCGUAUAUUGUACAAAUAACAAGUCAAAGGAAAGAGACAUACAUUGUAGAAUUGUAGUAAUUGUGGGCUGACUGAUUUACUGAUUAUCAGUAUUUUAUUUUUUACUGAUUUACGGUAAUAAAUACAUUUAAAAAUG